CGAGGACUUGCUGGCACCCAUCUCUGAGCCCAUCGAGUGGAAAUACCACAGCCCUGAGGAGGAGAUAAGGUGUGUGGCCCCUGACCCCUGGGAGGGACCUGGCGUCUGUGUGGCCACGCCCCUGGGAUGGGGACUCCUGGAGGUCACGCAGUGGGUUUUCAGAACCUGCCUGGGUGGGGACUUGCAGAAGGCAACUGUGCCUCCCCUGGGUUGAGGGCGUGGAUGCUAGAGCCAGACCCCCUGGGUGUGACCCCCAGCCCUGCUGCUUCCCUGUGCUGUGACCUUGGGCCCCAAGGUGCUGUCCGUCCGUUCUGUGGUUCAGUGUCCCCAUUUUAAAAUGAGGACGAUGAUAAUACCCACGUCCUGGGGCUGUCUUCAGAAUCACAUGCGUCCCUUCUCACGAGGUGCCUAAAGCAGAGACGGGCGUCCUGAGAGCCCAGCGUUGACUCUGGCACUGCAGCCUCCUGGGGCCUGCUUGGGUGGGUUGUCGGGUGCUGUGGGCAGGGGCCGCCGCCUCCGGGCUCCAUGUUCUGAUUGCCCUGCAGCCUUGGACCUGCCUGCUGGCUCUGGGAUUUUUUAAGACGAAGUCAACAGGUAAGACUUCCAGUUUCUAGUGAGCCCACUUUGCUUGUUCUGCUGGUUGGUCUGGUUUUAUUCUGGGGCAGGGUAGGGAUUUUUUUUUUUUUUUUUUUUAGUGCAAACAACAAAAAGCAUUUCAUCACUCUGCCUCCAUGGGGAGCUUAGUCUGCGCUAGCCAGAGGCAAGGUGGGCACAGUGGCUGGUGGGUCAGCUCCACCUUUGGAGGCUCAGCGGAACCCAGCCCAUCAGCAUUCAGGGUCAUGCUCACCAUCUUGCCAGCAUUGUAAUCAUGCGUAUCUGCAGUUUGUUGGUGGAGUCAGCCUCUGACACGCCCCGCAGUGAAGUGUCUUUUUUCCCUCUGAAAAAUCCAUUCAUCCUGCCACGUGCGGGUAUUUGUCCUGACCCCAUGGAAAGUGCUGACACCCACGUGCAUUUCUGUGGACGCCUCCUUGAGGUCUAUGGGUGGAGCUUGGCUGAUCCAUGGGCAUGCUGCUUCUCCGAGGCUCUGCUCACGCUGUCUGAUUGGUCCAUUCCAGGCAGGGUUUUUGCUGCCCUUGAGUGGCGGGGUGGACAGCGCAGCCACCGCCUGCCUCAUCUACUCCAUGUGCUGCCAGGUCUGCGAGGCCGUGAGGAGUGGAAAUGAGGAAGUGCUGGCUGAUGUCCGCACCAUUGUGAACCAGAUCAGCUACACCCCCCAGGAUCCCCGAGACCUCUGUGGACGCAUACUGACCACCUGCUACAUGGCCAGCAAGAACUCCUCCCAGGAGACGUGCACCCGGGCCAGAGAGUUGGCCCAGCAGAUUGGAAGCCACCACAUCAGUCUCAACAUCGAUCCAGCCGUGAAGGCCGUCAUGGGCAUCUUCAGCCUGGUGACGGGGAAGAGCCCUCUGUUUGCAGCUCAUGGAGGAAGCAGCAGGGAAAACCUGGCGCUGCAAAAUGUGCAGGUGCCCCCGCCUGGGCCGGCGUCCCCUGGGGGUGGGGGUGCAGGGAGCACUGGGACAAUCACUACAGGAUGUGCAGGUGCCCCCACCUGGGCCAUCGUCUCCAUGAAGCUCAUGGCACCGGUUACCUAGGGACAGCCAGUGCUGGGGUCACAGCCUGUAUGCCUCACUGAAGACGUCGGUCAUGCAGCCUUGUUAACAAGGAGGGGGUCUGUGUGUGUGUUGGUGCAUGAGCAUGUGAUGUGUAAGAGCAAGAGCGGGGGUGUAAGGAUGUGCGUGCUCGAGUGUGUGCAUGAGCCUGAGUGCAAGAGCAAGAGGGUGUGUCUGAGCCUGAGUGUGAGCCUGAGCGUGAGAGGUUACAUGAGUGUAUGAGAGUACAAGUGUGUGAAUGUAUGCACAAGUGUGGGUGUGCUUGUGAGUGCUUGUGCAAAAGCAAGUGUGAGUGUGUGGAUGUGUGAGUGUGCACAAACGUGAGUGCACAGUUGUGUGCAUGAGUGCGUCUGCAUGAGUGCACGAGCAUGCCUGUGAGCAUGUGGGUGGGUGGGUGUGCAUGAGUGUGAGAGUGCACAUGACUGUGUGUGAGUGUGUGUCUCUUUAAUCCUCAAGGAACAGCCCAGACGCUGUCUGCCUCCUGAGCUACUGCACUUGACUGACUGCUCUGUGAUGGGCGGAGGAAAAGAGAGGCCGGGGGCUCCAGCUGCUGGGAUCUGUCCUGUCUCUCUCUGUCCCCUUUCUGCUGUGCCUGGGUGGCCUCUCCCCUCCUGCCAGUGGUAAAGGGAUGGAAAUGCAGUUGCCAAGCUUUCUCCCAGGGACCCCACGGCUCAGUCCUGCCACCAGUGCUCCCUCUGCCCUCCUGGGCUCUGGGUGCUCCCAUCUUUGAAGGCAAGGCACCACUGAGCUUGUGUGAGCCCUGUGGAGGUGGGACCACCCCGAGAGGAAGGCCUCGGGACACUGUGGGACUCUGAGACUCUGAUGUUCCCAGAACGCUAGAGAGCUCCUAAGCUAUUUUAAUUUUCUUGUUUUCAAGAGUUUGUGGGUGUGCGUCUCCCCCGUGUUCCUUUGCAAGGGAACCCGUUAUUUCCUCUGUUGUGUUUUCCAGGCUCGAAUACGGAUGGUCCUCGCCUAUCUGUUUGCUCAGUUGAGCCUCUGGUCUCGGGGCGUCCACGGUGGGCUCCUCGUGCUGGGAUCCGCCAACGUGGAUGAGAGUCUCCUGGGCUACCUGACCAAGUACGACUGCUCCAGUGCGGACAUCAACCCCAUAGGCGGGAUCAGCAAGACGGACCUCAGGGUCUUCGUCCAGUUCUGCAUCCAGCGCUUCCAGCUUCCUGCCCUGCAGAGCAUCCUGUUGGCGCCGGCCACUGCAGAGCUGGAGCCCUUGGCUGAUGGACAGGUGUCCCAGACUGACGAGGAAGAUAUGGGGAUGACAUAUGCGGAGCUCUCAGUCUAUGGGAAACUCAGGAAGGUGGCCAAGAUGGGGCCCUACAGCAUGUUCUGCAAACUCCUCGGCAUGUGGAGACACAUCUGCACCCCGAGACAGGUCGCUGACAAAGUGAAGCGGUUUUUCUCCAAGUACUCCAUGAACAGACACAAGAUGACCACACUCACACCCGCCUACCACGCCGAGAACUACAGCCCUGAGGACAACAGGUUUGAUCUGCGACCAUUUCUGUACAACACAAGCUGGCCUUGGCAGUUUCGGUGCAUAGAAAAUCAGGUAAAUCCAGCAGAAAUGUUUCUCUCUCCAUGUUUCAUGUCUGUAGAAGAAAUGUGAGGUUAUUUCCAUGAAGGAUUGAAAAACUUUCUUAUAUACACAGUGACUUUUUUACUGUCCUCCUUUCUGCAAAGGGACAAGUAUGUUUAAAGCGUUUUUUAAAUUUACUUUCUUCGUGUUGACAAAUAAAAGUUCUAUAUAUU
rnacentral:sRNA from 1 species